rnacentral:tRNA from 1 species
UGGGUUGUGGCUCAGUGGUAGAGUGCUCGCCUAUCACAUGUGAGGCACUGGGUUCGAUUCUCAGCAUUAUAU